UGAAAUGUCUCAAGCAGGUGUGAUUUUUUUUUAAGGUCUAGCCAGCUAUUUGUUGAAAUUGUUCAGCAAAGAACAAAUAUUUAUUGAUAGAAAUCUAGGCAUUUUGGGGUGAUGGUAAUAAUUACAAAAAAUGGCAAUUACUUAUGCCUUUCACAUGCUAAUCUUUAUGAAUACUUCAAGUGUUUUAGCUCAUUUAAACCUUAACAGUCUUCUAAAGAAUCCCAAAAAACUGGGCAUGGUGUUGGGCCUGGAUGGAGAUGCCUGUAAUGCAAGCCCUUAGGAAGCAGAAGCAGGAGAAUGACAAGUGUAAGGCAUCCUGGGCGACAUAGUAAAGUAAGGCCAGCCUGGGCUGUGAGAUCUGUGUUGUCACCUGUGACCUCAGAUCUCCAUUUUCCAGAUGAGCAAACAGGGAUGAGAGGUUCAAAUUUGCCUCUGGUCAUCCACCUAGGUGAGGACAGAGCUGAAUCCAGAGGACCUGCUCCACAGUUCUCCACCCAGUGUGCUUUCUUGACUGCUUUUGUCUGAGGGUUUGUAGAGAUUAGAGGGGAUUCUGUUAAAGGCGCUUGUGUUAAGUUGUUUAUAGACACAUACCGGCUGGAGAGAGUUUGUGAACAAGCUUGAGGACCUGAGUUCAAAUGCUAACAUAGACAGUCUUCAGUCUUGUAUGGUGCACUUGUGACCCCAUUGCUCUUGGUGGGGUAGAGACGGGAGGAUCCCUGGGGCUAACUGGGUACCAGCUUCUAGGUUCAGCGAGAAAAGGAACAAGGCAGAGAGUGAUAGAGUAGGCUACCCUGGGUCCUCCUCUGGCCUCUCGGGUGCACAAACACAGUUAUCUCUGUACACAUAGGUGCAUAUAUACUACAUAUGGCUAGAACCCUCCCUCCCACCCCCAUGAAGUCAUGAAAAGGAUUUCAAUCUCAGAUUUCUUUCUAGGACUUCUAUUUUUUUUCUAAUGCAAAAAAAACUAUUUGGACCUUAAAAUGUUAAAACAGGUCUAGUUAAAGAUCACACUUUUUUUUUUAAGUUUAAUGCUAACACAUUGGCCUUUUAUUUUUCAGUGUGUUUAAAUGGAUCUUCCUUUAUUUUACUUUUUCUUCUGAAAUGUAUUCCUAAUUUUGGAAUUAAGAGAGGUACAUGUAAGUGACACAUGAUAUGAUAACAUACUACAUGUAAAACCAUUUUAUAAAUCAUUGAUCUGUAUUCUUGACUGUUUAUUGUUGUAGGUUAUAGCGAUGCUGGUGAUAGUUUGUUGGGUGUUUGGUGUUCCUGAGCUGCUUUGUUCAUAUAGUGUUUUUAUUCUUAAGCUCAGUGUGCAGUGAGCUUCCUAUGUUCUGCAGCUGAGGAAGCUGAGGUCAAUAUGUAUGGACUUGCCCACAGCAUACAGCUUUCCAGGGGCCUCUUACACGUUCUUAUUUUAAAACAACUCCACCAAUAACAAGCAAUUAUUAAGUGUCUUCUGUUCUCAGAUUGUUCUGUGCAAUUAGAUAUGUUUAGUAUUCGCCCCAACUCCAGUAUGAGUGUGAUAUUAUAUUUUACAGCUAGGGAAUGGAAGAUUUAGAGAGGUUAACUAGUUUAGGUCUGGGGUCUAAGAGCAUUGGAGAGAGGACUCUGGUCCCGGGCUUUCUGACUUCCCUUCACAAGCUCCGUGAGCUGCUUCACUGUGUGAUAUGGCUGCUCUGUGCUUACAGACAGGAUUUGCUUGGGUCACUUCUCCAGCUCUGCACUCUGUAGCACACAGCUUGGCUUCUAGGCUCAUCUACCUCCGCUCCAUUGCUCUUGUUGAUCUUGGUGGACAUCCCAUGGUACUGGCAUCUCCAAAACUGCUGGGGUCUUGCUGCAACUAGACUACACUUUAACAACUAGCCUCUCAUAGGCUCUCUUCAUGGUGCCAAGCCUCAGCUGCUCUCAUGACCCCUUCAUGUCUUCAAUCUAGGGUCUAGGGUGACUCUUACACAGUCUGGCCACCAACAUGAGAUUCUUCCUUGGCUGUCUCUGGAACACAGCUUCUUUGUUCUCUCAGAAAUUACUUCCCAGAAGAUUUCACUCACUGAUGCUGGUCUUUUCUUAAUCACCGCUAAUUUCUUAGCUCCAGCUAACCAGCAUCACUUGUCCCUGUGUGUGCUAGGCAAGUCCUCUUUCAUUGAGCUACAUCCCUGGUUUUAUUGGUUGUUAAUAUUUUCUUUCUUUCUCUCUCUCUCUCUCUCUUUUAUAACAGAGAGGUGUACCUCGGUAAUUCUGUGGUUAUGAAUCUGAAUUUUUCCUUUUAGUUCUUUAAGAACUGUAUGUUUUGAAGUCAUUACUAGAUGUAUACAGACUUACAGCUUUAUCAUUCUAGUAAAUUGGGCCUUUGAAAGUUAUAAUAUGUCCCUUUUUAUCUCUAAUAAUAACAUGUGCUUCUUGCCUUUACCAUCUACUUGGUGUAGUUCUGUCUUCCUUACUUGAGCUACUUUUUGUUGGUUGUAGCCUUUGCUUAGUUUUUCCUUGCUGGUGCUGGUGAUUGGAACCCAAGACCUUAUGCAUGUUAGACAGUACUUGUCUAGCCCUCUUACUGUGCAUGUUUUGUGAUGGCAUAUUUGAGAUCUGUUUCUUUUUCACAACAUAUGGAUUUGUUAAAAUUAAGUUCCUUUAUUCAUUUAGAGAGAGAGGGUGAAUGAGAGAGGGAGGAAGGGAGAAGGAGAUGUUUGGAGGUUAGAGGACAGAUUUCAGGAGUUGGUUCAUUUCAUCCACUGUAUAGAUUCCGGGGAUUCAAAUCAAGCUUCAGGCUUGGUGGCAAGUACCUCCUGAGCUAGCUUGCUGCCCCAAGAUUUGAGUAUUUUGCUAUUAAAUUAGAGUUAGCUCAAAUUUUUUUCCCUUCAGCAUAUUAAAAAAAUAUUGCAUGCCUUUCUGUGAUUGCAGACCUGUGUCUAUCUUACACUGAUUUAGGCAUCUGCUUACUAGCAGUUACUUAGUUGUAUUUUACUUUUGGUUUUGUUGAUCUAUAAAUCUCUUUUAAGACUUGUUUUUUUGUAAGGUGUAGAAUUGAUAAUUUAAUUUUGUUAUAUGGUAUUUUCCAUUCCUGUAAUAUGAUUUUAUAUUACUUAUGCUUUUACUAAAACAUUUGUGGGAAUCUAUUUAUGUUAAGGCAUGUUUAGAGGAGAGAUAAUUGGGUUUAGUGUCAGUCUUUUGGCUUAUGACUGUUAGUGAUUAAUACUUUAAGAAUAUUCUUGGCCAGGCAGUGGUGGCGCACGCCUUUAAUCCCAGCACUUGGGAGCAGAGGCAGGUGGAUUUCUGAGUUCGAGGCCAGCCUGGUCUACAGAGUGAGUUCCAGGACAGAUAGGACUACACAGAAGCCCUGUCUCAGG
rnacentral:lncRNA from 1 species